AGGAAAAUGGAGCAAACCUGCUCUCGAAUGAAGAAGAAAAGAUUUGUACGUAACUACAAUUUGAUUGUUCCUCCAAGAAUUGAAAUGAGUUUUAGGACCACUAGCAUGAAUGACGUCAACUAGCAUAUGCAAGAAAGUUAAUUUGCUUUAACAGACCUUGUACAGUCCAGAAAAGAGAAAACAUGAAUCGUUUAUGACAACAAAUCAAUGGUCCAGAAAUCUUCCUUGGAAGAGUUUCUUUAAAUCUCAACCAUUCAUUCGUUUUCCUGGAGGGUUUCAUGGUCCAGUUGUCCUCGUUUCUAUCUUUUCUGUUUGGCGAUGCACCACUAGCCACUAGGUCGUGUUCUUAAAUGUUGAACAUACAAUGGAUACAUCGAGUGUGAUGUUAAAUUCUGUGUGUCUGGACAAGUUACGAGAAAUACUACUCUGCAGUUUAAUUUUGAGGCAUAUGAGUGCAUUGGCUCUAUUUAUGAGUGAAGGAGGUAAAUGUUUCCAAGGCAUUACAGAAGGAGUAGGAUUUUCCCAUUGCUUUUCAGUUGUGUGGACACUAUAUUAUUGGGAUAGGAAGACAUAAUUUUUGGCUUGUGCAUUUUAGAUUGGGUUCACAAAUCCGUAAAUCGGCUUGAAAUGAAUAUGCACAAGUUUUCAUCUAUUCUGCCAGAUUCUUCCAACGAACAUGCAUCCUGUAUUCCUGGUUCGAGAGUCCCCGUAAUUCUCACCUUUUCCAGCAAGAGGUGGGAGAUGAGUUAGUGUGGAGAGAGCAGCCGCCCAAAGUUAAAGCCUCGUUGGAGAUUUUCUGCAGUUGAUAGUUAUGUAUAUAUAGGUUGGGGAUGCAUGAUUUGAACACUUCUGCAAAUCUCAGGUUUAGAGUUCAAAUUCUCAGAGGUGAUUUUAUGUCUCAGUUGAUGCCAGGCAAGGGUAACUGGUGAGACUUCAAAAACUCCUAUAAUCGUUCAUUUGGAUCUCCCAUCUUCUUCGGGUGCUUCUACCUAACUUUUGUUCAAGAUUCUAGCGGUAGACAAGUGAUGUAGAUUGCAUACGGACCUCCUACUUUUUGCUGCUUUACUUGAACAUUUACUUGGUUUAACCGAUGACAUCGAUGUUUUCUUGUUUGAUACGCUCAAAUGCGCAAUACCAAUAUAUUGCGUUGGUUGUUAAGAUGGAUUUUGAUC